AUGAAAUUAAAUAAGGACAACAGGGUAUUUUAAUAUAUUCGGCCAAUAUAUAUAUAUCAAUAGAAAAAUAAACUUUUUUUUACCCGUGAUGAUUAUGAUAACAAUAUUAGACAAACAAAAGAAUUUCUUAAAAAGAUAGUAUGAUAUUGUGAAUUUCUACAGUGCUAACAAUGCGUCUCUUAACCUCAACUUAUAUAUUUUGAAACUUUAUUCAAGUUGAUACGAUUAAGAACACCACCAUAAAACUAUGUCAUUGUUGCUUUAACUCUUCACAGAACAAACACAUCUUAAUCCUUUAUCACUUAACCGUCAUUUGAAAAAAUCCUUUACAUAUUUCCUUCUUAUGGUGCCUCUUUCCAUCCUCUUAUGAUUUUGUUUAAAUCGUACGUGUACUAUCUUCCAAAUUUUUCACAUGCUCUAUAUUUUUUUUAAAAAAUCUCUUACUUUCCUUGAAAGUAAAAGCUUUUUUCAAGCUUGUCGAAAGAUAGGUUAGUUAAGUUAAUAAACUCGUUAUUUGA
rnacentral:sRNA from 1 species